CGUGCUCCAGCAAGGACCAUGGGGUGGCAACGGCGGCAAAACCUGGAAUAUGGGACGGGCGGAUCACAUUAGCAACGUCAAAAUUCAUUACAACGAUGCCGUAUUCGCGUUUGACUUCACCUUCACCGUCGACGGCAAGAAGAAGACCAUCCACGUCGGAGGCGAUGCACCCCAGUACAAUGAGAUUACUCUAGAGGAGGACGAAUACUUCACUUUCAUCUCUGGAUAUUUCAAGACGAUGUGGACGACAGACGUUUUCAUAACACAACUUACCCUUGAGACCAACAAGGGCAAUUCUGUGAGCGCCGGCAAUACGAUCGGUAGUCAUUUCUCCCUAAAUCUAGAGGAUGAGGGUAAGAUUCUAGGCUUCUUCGGACGUGAAGGUUCUACCAUCGAUGCCAUCGAGGCAAUCGGAGUUUACUGCACUAUACCUAAUUAAACACACGUCACGCCUUGGUGUCUGUGUCUUAGUCUGCUGCAAUGUAUCUGCUCGGUUGUGGCGAUAAAUAAGUGGCAGAAAUUGUCGUCGUCUUCGUCGUUGCGUUUCUUUGAAUAAAACAAGAAAUAUGUUACGGGUCCACUGGUUAUUGUACGCUAAUUGACGACAUGAUGAUAGUUGAAUCCAAUCGGUGGUUGCAUUCCUAUGUCAUUUCGCGUACA